rnacentral:misc_RNA from 1 species
UACGGACCGGACGAACGUUAUUCGGAAUUACUGGGCGUAAAGCGCGCGUAGGUGGUUGGUUAAGUUGGAUGUGAAAGCCCCGGGCUCAACCUGGGAACUGCAUCCAAAACUGGCCGACUAGAGUACAGUAGAGGGUGGUGGAAUUUCCUGUGUAGCGGUGAAAUGCGUAGAUAUAGGAAGGAACACCAGUGGCGAAGGCGACCACCUGGACUGAUACUGACGCUGAGGUACGAAAGCAUGGGGAGCAAACAGG